GGGAUUGCCCUAGUAACGGCGAGUGAAGCGGCAACAGCUCAAAUUUGAAAUCUGGCGCAAGCCCGAGUUGUAAUUUGUAGAGGAUGCUUCUGGGUAGCGACCGGUCUAAGUUCCUUGGAACAGGACGUCAUAGAGGGUGAGAAUCCCGUAUGUGACCGGCCCGCACCCUCCACGUAGCUCCUUCGACGAGUCGAGUUGUUUGGGAAUGCAGCUCUAAAUGGGAGGUAAAUUUCUUCUAAAGCUAAAUACCGGCCAGAGACCGAUAGCGCACAAGUAGAGUGAUCGAAAGAUGAAAAGUACUUUGGAAAGAGAGUUAAAAAGCACGUGAAAUUGUUGAAAGGGAAGCGCCUGCAACCAGACUUCGCGGCAGUGUUCCGCCGGUCUUCUGACCGGUUCAUUCUCUGCCGCGAGGCCAUCAUCGUCUCGGCCCGCCGGAUAAGAUCUGAGGAAUGUGGCUCCCCCUCGGGGGAGUGUUAUAGCCUCGGGUGAUGCGGCGCGGCUGGGGCGAGGUCCGCGCUUCGGCAAGGAUGAUGGCGUAAUGGUUGUCGGCGGCCCGUCUUGAAACACGGACCAAGGAGUCUAACAUCUAUGCGAGUGUUCGGGUGUCAAACCCCUACGCGUAAUGAAAGUGAACGGAGGUGGGAACCGCAAGGUGCACCAUCGACCGAUCCUGAUGUCCUCGGAUGGAUUU
rnacentral:rRNA from 1 species